rnacentral:rRNA from 1 species
AUUGAACGCUGGCGGCAGGCCUAACACAUGCAAGUCGAGCGGAUGAAGGGAGCUUGCUCCUGGAUUCAGCGGCGGACGGGUGAGUAAUGCCUAGGAAUCUGCCUGCUAUUGCGUUGUAACGUCUGGAAACGAGCGCUAAUACCGCAUACUUCCUGCUGGAGCAAGAGGGGGGUCUUCGGACCUCAUGCUAUCAUAUGAGCCUAGGUCGGAUUAGCUAGUUGGUGGGGUAAAGACCUACCAAGGCGACGAUCCGUAACUGGUCUGAGAGGAUGAUCAGUCACACUGGAACUGAGACACGGUCCAGACUCCUAAGGGAGGCAGCAGUGGGGAAUAUUGGACAGUGGGCGAAAGCCUGAUCCAGCCAUGCCGCGUGUGUGAAGAAGGUCUUCAGAUUGUAAAGAACUUUAAGUUGGGAGGAAGGGCAGUAAGUUAAUACCUUGCUGUAUUGACGUUAACAACAGAAGAAGCACCGGCUAACUUCGUG